CAGUCGCCACGGUAAUACGUAGGGUGCGAGCGUUAAUCGGAAUUACUGGGCGUAAAGCGUGCGCAGGCGGUUUUGUAAGACAGAGGUGAAAUCACCGGGCUCAACCUGGGAACUGCCUUUGUGACUGCAAGGCUAGAGUACGGCAGAGGGGGAUGGAAUUCCGCGUGUAGCAGUGAAAUGCGUAGAUAUGCGGAGGAACACCGAUGGCGAAGGCAAUCCCCUGGGCCUGUACUGACGCUCAUGCACGAAAGCGUGGGGAGCAAACAGGAUUAGAGACCCCCGUAGUCCCUGUCUCUUAUAC
rnacentral:rRNA from 1 species